UUUGAUAGUACCUUACUACUUGGAUAACCGUGGUAAUUCUAGAGCUAAUACAUGCUAAAAACCCCAACUUCGGGAGGGGUGUAUUUAUUAGAUAAAAAACCAAUGCCCUUCGGGGCUCUCUGGUGAUUCAUAAUAACUUCUCAGAUCGCAUGGCCUUGCGCCGGCGACGGUUCAUUCAAAUUUCUGCCCUAUCAACUUUCGAUGGUAAGGUAUUGGCUUACCAUGGUUUCAACGGGUAACGGGGAAUUAGGGUUCGAUUCCGGAGAGGGAGCCUGAGAAACGGCUACCACAUCCAAGGAAGGCAGCAGGCGCGCAAAUUACCCAAUCCCAAUACGGGGAGGUAGUGACAAUAAAUACUGAUACAGGGCUCUUUAGGGUCUUGUAAUUGGAAUGAGUACAAUUUAAACCUCUUAACGAGGAACAAUUGGAGGGCAAGUCUGGUGCCAGCAGCCGCGGUAAUUCCAGCUCCAAUAGCGUAUAUUAAAGUUGUUGCAGUUAAAAAGCUCGUAGUUGAACCUUUGGCCUGGCUGGCGGGUCCGCCUCACCGCGUGCACUCGUCCGGCCGGGCCUUUUCUUCUGGAGAACCGCAUGCCCUUCACUGGGUGUGUUGGGGACCAGGACUUUUACUUUGAAUAAAUCAGAGUGUUCAAAGCAGGCAUUUGCUCGAAUACGUUAGCAUGGAAUAAUAGAAUAGGACGUGCGGUCUUAUUUUGUUGGUUUCUAAGACCGCCGUAAUGAUUAAUAGGGACAGUCGGGGGCAUCAGUAUUCAAUUGUCAGAGGUGAAAUUCUUGGAUUUAUUGAAGACUAACUACUGCGAAAGCAUUUGCCAAGGAUGUUUUCAUUAAUCAGUGAACGAAAGUUAGGGGAUCGAAGACGAUCAGAUACCGUCGUAGUCUUAACCAUAAACUAUGCCGACUAGGGAUCGGGCGGUGUUAUUAUUUUGACUCGCUCGGCACCUUACGAGAAAUCAAAGU
rnacentral:rRNA from 1 species